UGGGGAAUUUUGGACAAUGGGGGCAACCCUGAUCCAGCAAUGCCGCGUGUGUGAAGAAGGCCUGCGGGUUGUAAAGCACUUUAGGGGUGGAGAAAGGCGAUUGUGCUAAUAGUACAAUUGAUUGAUGUUACACCCAGAAUAAGCACCGGCUAACUCUGUG
rnacentral:rRNA from 1 species